AGCUAGAAGUGUAAGUUAUCGCUAAAAGUAUGGAUAUAAAACGAAUUGGGCUGAAAUACCAUUAAUAGUAUUCGGCUUUUUUUGCUAUUAAGUUUUUAACCAUUGGAUGAAAAAUUAUAGGGUUUAGUAGUGGUCCCCCCUAGGGUUGAGUGAGUGGUUAGUUGAAUAGUAUGAUCUAAAAGAUAAGACUAAUUAAAGUGUAGAUCUAACGAUUAAAAAAUCGAUAGCAAAAGAGCCCAAAUACUAUUAAUAAUAUUCUAGUUCAACUUGAUAUCAAGCAGCCUAUUCUUUUUAGGGGCUAAAUUAUAAAAAGCCCUCUCGAAAUCUACCACUUAUCUUAAAAUUCCUCAUGCAUAAAAAAUUACAUCAAUUAUCUCUAUACAUUUUGUCGUUAUCUUAAAUAAAUCCACCUAUUUGGAAUAAUUGUUGAAUUUAACUAUAAAACUUUAUAAAAGUACAUUUGCAGAUAAAAUUAUGUGUAAGUAAUGCAAAAGAAUCAUAAAAGUUGAAUAAAUUGCUAGAUAAACUAUCAUUUUUUAUAGUAUUAGAAAAAUAGAGGAUCUCAUUUAUCUAAAUUUUUUUUUUUUUUUUUUGAGUUGCAAGUUGGAUAUUUACUGAGAUGUGAAACAAUAUGAUAUGCUAACUCGUUUUAGUUAAGUUUUACAGCUUAAUUUGUUAGUUCUUUAAUUUUUUGGAUCUAUUUGAGAUGAAGACGAAAUAUAGGAUGGUAAUUAGUACAAUUUUUAAUACAAGAGGAUAAUUGAGGCUGAGGUUAUAACGCACAAAAUUUUUUUUGUAAAAUUUAGUUUUUUUUACCACAUCUUUUAGUGCAGCAUAAAAUGCUAUUCUGAAAAUCAGACCAAAUAUACACAAAGUAACAGUUCACAUACACAAAGUAACAGUUCACAUUUUCUAGAAGAAUUUAAAUGUAAAUGCUCUUUUAUGUUUUUAUUAGAUACAACAUAAUAUGCCCAAUUUUGCAUUUUUUAUGUCAUCCAAAGGCAAAGCAAGGAGCAUCAUUCAACACAGCCAAGAUAUAUUUGAUAGUGGAGCUGAAAAACCCAAAAAAGGAAAAAAAGAAAAAGAAAAGAAAAGAGAGGAUGAAAAAACAAAAAAUAAAAAGAAAAAAAGAAAAGGACAUGCAUGACUUGAUUCCUUGGGAGGUGGAAACUGUGGCCACCAAUCUCAUGCUGCCCCCUCUUUUGUCCUCACAUUGCUGAAAUUUUAUGCAACCCCAUCACUUCCCAAGAGCAGUCUUCAGUCUUCACCAAACACCCCUCCCCCACCUCCCCUCCCUCCCUCCCUGCUUUUCUUUCUUUGGGCUUCUUCUCUACCUUUCCCCUACUGCUUUUUUGGCUUUACCACUACUUUUUAUUUACUCAGCUUCAACUUUUUCCUUCUCCUCUUAACUCUAACUCUCUCUCUUUCUACAUUACUCUCUCCUCCUCCUCUCUUUUGCCCCUUCUGUCUCUCUCUCUCUCUCUCUCUCUCUCUCUCUCUCUCUCCAGUAAUGCUCCCUCCUCCACCUCCAUCUCUUGAGGAGGAGAUUACUUAGAAAGAAAUAACUUCAAUGGCUACAAGGGUUAUUAGGGCUGAUCAUGGCCUGCUCCUCCUCUUCUCUCUCCUCCUAUCCCUUCAGUCUGCUUGCUCUUCAGGUCAGUACAUCACUCAUUCUCCUCUCCCUUCCUUUCCCUUUCUUUCUGUUGCAUUUUUUUUUUCUCUUAUUGAGCUACAAACAACAACAACAACAACAAAAGACAAGAAGAGACAAAGAAAGAGAGUUUCUCAUUUACUCCUCUUUGAUAGCUACUUUAAGAUUGGCAUAAACCACUUUCCCCUUCUGAUAUACCACAACUGUUUCAGAAUCUCAGUUUCAUUUUUCAUUUUCUUCUUUCUUUGGUGUUUCCAGGAGCCUUUGUGGGAUUUUCAUAUGAUGCAAGGGAAGAGAGCCCUCAAUCUUCUUCACCUUCACCCACAGAAGCACUAUCUUUCCUCCACAAGAACAGACUCUCCCCUGCUCAGUACAGAAUCUUCCUCACAAACCCACAACCCUUCUUACAUCCACUGUCCAAAUCUGCUGUCCCUGUUGAUCUGUUUCUGAAACAGUUUGACACUCAAAAACCAUCAGAAGCAAAUGCUUUAGCUUCCUCAUGGCUAGCAACCCACCUCAUAAGCACUCUCCCCUAUCUUAACAUCACCAACAUCAUAGUAAUCCCCAAUGAGAGGGCCCUCCCUUCACUCCUCCACACCCUGAACUCACUCUACUCCUCCCUCAAAGCCUUCGGCCUCGACCGGGCCGUAAAAAUCUCAGCGAUGUUCUCCCUCUCCACCCUCGAAACCGUUGGGAAAACUCGGAACAAGGAUUUUCGGAGAGCCGUGGAAUUUGUAAAGAAGAAUUCGGGGUCGUUUGUGCUGAUAGAGACCUUCGUGGAUGGACAACUGAGCUUAUCUGAUGGGUUUGUUCAAUCCACUGCACAAAGGGCCAUAACUGCUUUGAGUGCUCUAUCCAACUUAGAAGACACCAUUCCCUUAGUUUUCAAUGUGAAGAGCUAUGUUUCCCCAAGUGAAGUAGAAGUAGCUCAAUUCAGCGAAAAAAUGAAAAGGUCUUUAGAUAUGUAUCCUGUCAUAAACAAAAGGGUUUGGGGUUUUUAUGUGGAUGUAUCUCAUGUGGGGGAAACUCGGAAGGAAAUACUAAAUUGGGAGGAGCAACUGAUUUUCCCUUCUUCUCAUAGAGAGCUGCUGCUUCUUGACCAUGAAAAGAGUACGACGGUCCGCGACACUUAUGCUCCGAUAACAAACCCCGUCACCACCACGCCCAUCACUGUCCCUUCCACGAACCCAUCGCCGGGGAUAGUGACCGUCCCUUCGACCAAUCCUGUCACUGUUCUUCCCACUAACCCUUCCACGACACCUAUCACAAUCCCUCCCACGAAUAAUCCGAUGCCGAUGCCGACACCGACACCUGCAACCACUCCAGUGCCAGUCACAAACCCUUACCCUACGCCGAUGACCACUCCCAUCGUGCCCGUCACGAAUCCAGCGACGACUCCAACGAUGGUUCCUGUGACCAAUCCUGUUACGACUUAUCCUUAUACGCCGCCAGGGGUUUACACGCCGACUUAUCCAUAUGCGCCGGCCGGGGGUUACGUGCCGUCCGUAACGCCGCCUGUCACUGUGCCGAGCACCAUGCCGGUUACACCUGCAGUAGCAGGUCAGACUUGGUGCGUGGCGAAGACCGGUGUGCCGGAUUCGGCACUCCAAUUGGCACUGGAUUAUGCCUGUGGGAUUGGGGGUGCGGAUUGCUCGGCGAUCCAACCGAUGGGCAGCUGCUACAACCCCAACACGCUUCAGGCUCAUGCAUCAUACGCAUUCAAUAACUACUAUCAGAGGAAUCCUUCACCAACAAGUUGCGAUUUUGGAGGGACGGGGAUGAUCGUCAAUGUUAAUCCAAGUAAGAAAACACUUGCAAUUUGAGCAUCCUUUCUUGAGUAUGAAACCGAAGCUUUUGCAGAAGUGUUGUCACGUACAACUGUUCGAAGAAGCAAUAAUAGCUUUUCCAUUGAUAUCCUCCCCAACAGCUGUAGCAGAAGCCGGAGCUUUAAACUAUAGCUGCUGCUUUUGGGUUUGAAAAACUCAUUUCAAUUUCGAGGUAGAAAAAAAAAAUUUAGGGUUUUUUGCUAAGAAAUUGAUCUCUGGAACUUUUUGCAGGCUCAGGGACAUGCAUUUAUCCAACUUCAAGGUAAACACUGCUAUGAAAAAGCAAUAUCAUAUACUAUAAAUGCUGUCUAUUCAACAUGCAUAACAUGACCUUCCUCACCUCUUGCAUUCGCAGCGGGGUCUCUGGCUAUAAUCCUACAGCCACUACUCCUGGUUUUACUCCUGCUUCAAGUUAUGGUUCGACUCCUGGUACAAGUUCUGGUUCGACUCCUGGUACAAGUUCUGGUUCGUCGGUGUUGAACACUAACAACUCGGGCUCGAGCACAGUAUACGGGUCGGACAACCCAACAGGCGCCGGCAGCAACUCAUUGUCUCGCUACGCUGGUUGGACCUCCUUAUAUUUUGUGAUCACCUUAGCCUAUAUCAGAGGUAGGCUCUAAGUUAGAGUGUGAGCUAAUUCAGGUGCCGAAAACGGAAUGAUGGGUAGAUUGAGAACAGCUUCCUAGUGCUAGUUCUAUGAUAGUUAGAGUAAUAUUCAUAUACAAUGAGUUGUAAAGAACAAAUUUGAUGUGUAUAUGGACUAAGUAGAUGAGUAGAGCUUGAGAGUGCCUCUCUUGUAGAACUUUGUUGAUGCUUCAUUUCGGAGAUGUAAAUCAGCUUUAUGAAAAGGUGAAAAAAACAAAAUAUUUAUGGAUGCACAGAGAAAUGAAGUGUAACAAUGGUACCUGUCAACCUGAAGAAGGAUGCUAGUUCCGAUCAGAAGAGUUAUCUCCAUUGCCAAUUGCCAUGGCUGCUGUUAGUAUUUGUCAUCCCCGUCUCUUGUUUGUGGUUCUGUUUCUGUACAUCUUCUGGACCAUAAACACUAACAGAUCACUUUGGACAAUCACUUCUAUAGAUAUGAGAACACAGAUACCAUUGCCCUACUGGCUUUUCUUCGAGAGAAAAGAAAGAAAACAAAACAGAAAAAAUAAUAAUCAAUGCAAACUCAAGCACCAGGUGUCUGCCAAUUCUUGUUAUCUCUUCACAACCAGUUUAAACUGUAUUCAGAUAUACAAGCUUGAAUCACAAUGUAGAGGAAAAGUAAGAUAAAAUUCUAAUACAUCUUCAAUAUAGAUAGAUAAAUUUGUACUGUGAAUUAUACUAGCUCGAUUACCGUGGGAUGCAACCAAUUAGACUGCAUGAUUCCACCAUGUAAUAAAGUAACAAAUAUUUGGAGAACCUAAAGAUCAUACAAGAUGAGAUUUAGAAGGAAUGAAUUAGCACAAUAUUACCUUUACAUAAUGCAUGGUAUUAUAUGGUUGACAUUUCGUGCCCUUUAUAAAAGGAAGAAUUGUUUCAACUAGUAAAAGUAAAACCUUUCAUUUGAGGGCACAAGAGCUAGACAGAGAAUACAUAUUGAGGAAUUUGUUAUGGAUGUUCGAUACUAAAUUUCCAAAAUCUAUACAUGUUUUAUUCCGUGGGUACAACGCAGUCGAAAUUAUAUCUACAUGAGCGACCAAAUAUGUUUACCACUAAUCUGAAAUAUAAUACGAGAGAUUACAACAGCGGGAUGCUUUAAUAUACAGAACAAUAAGAUCUAAUAAAGAAGAGAUGAUUAUGAAACCAUUACUUUUCUAAUAGAAGAUCUAUUAUGAUAAACUUCAUCUAAUCACUGAGAUCAUCAUCGAGAAAGUUAAGAUCACCACCAUCUUCGUCACUAGCAGUAGCCAUAGAAGCAGGAUGAACCUCUAAGGACUCGACUACUUCAGGCAAAGGUAUACUGCUUGUAUGAGGUUUCCUUGACGUUGCAUCUAAAUGCAUAUUCUCGUUUACUUCCUUUAAGUAGGGCUCUUGUUCCGUUUCAUUAUAAAGAGUCUCCUACAUUCACAACAGGCAAUCCGAUCAAUCGAUAUAACAAAAACAAGUGAAUCGAAUUAAAGAAUAAAGAUACUUCUACAUGUAUAUAACUGCAAAAUCAUACAUCUAUGUACAUAUUCUUGUAAAAUAUCAAUUUUCAUAUAUGUUCCUUGAAACUGCAGUUGUUUACAACAAUAUCCUUAUCUUACGUUGAGAAGUCUCCAAAUUAAUGGGCGAAAGUUGGUUUUUUUUAAUUAGCAUUUUUGUAUAUUUUUAAGAGAGGCAUUUUUAACUAAACGCUAUAUGUGGAAGACAUUAAGUUUUUGGAGGGUUUGCAGUUAUAUACAUUAAAAAAUAUACCUCGCCUCCUGGAGAAGCUGCUUUGUCAAUCUCAACAACCCAGCUUUCCAACAAUCUCUCUAGUAGAGCAUUGUCAAGGGAAAUUGAACAAUCAUCUGUCCUGUUAAAUUGCCAUUCGCGAAGACGUAGGUUGUAAUGGGUGUAAGUAAGAUCCUUUAAUCUUUUUUGGGCUAUACGAUUGCGUCUAGUAGUGUGAAUUUGAUCAAAGGCACUCCAGUGGUGUUCGGAACCACGAGAUGUACAUGUCUGGCUCAAUAUGCGAAUAGCAAUUCGUUGCAACUCGAGGCAAUUGAUUCCAUGUUGUUGCCACCAGGCAGCUGUGAUUGAAAAAACAUAUCAAAAAAGAAAAAUUGAUGCCUGGUUUAGCAUUGCAAUCUAAAUUGUUGAAAGUUUGCAAUCCAUAUUAGUCAAAUAUGAUUACCUGGAUCCAGCUCCAUCCUUGUACUCAAAGCCAGAUCGGUUCCAAAAUCAGCUUUUGCAAAAACAAAAUCUGAAAUCUAAGAUAAAUAAGAUGACAAAUAGAGUGCAUUAAAAGAGGAAGAGAAAAGAAACCAAGGAAGCUUCUCGGCAAAAUGAAUAAUAAGAGCUGAACAAAGGAAAUCUCCCUACAGAAUAUCAUGAUUUUACAUUGUUCCCCUUGAAAUACUAAAACAUACAUUUUGCCCACUUUGACCUGUAAGCUAAGUGAUAGAUCUUGCCUCAGAGAACACUCACAGAGAGCAAAGGAGUGAAAUAUUGUAGUUUCGAGGGUAAUAUAUAUAGGUUUCAGCAUUCCACCCACGGGAGCUGGUUUGAAAAUUGGGAUAUUCAACUUAGCCAUUACUAAAUUUCACAAUUCAAACAAUGUGAGUACCUGGGAAGCAGCAGAAACUCUCCUUACAUUAUCCGAUUCAAGUCUAGUUAUGCAUUCAUUCAAGCCACGAAUAACCUCAGGAAGCUACAAAUUAGAUCAUGAAAAAUGAGAAUUAGGUGCAACAUCACACCAUAUCAAGAUGAAACAUUCACUUGAAAAAGAAAAAGGUAAAAGAAAAAGGUAACAUUCAAUGCUUUAAGCAUACCGCCAUGAAGUCUGGUCGAUAUCUAAAGGACGGGUUCAAGAAGUAAGCAGCAACAUACAGAGGAUGGUUGAAAACAGCAUUCCAAUGACUGUCUAUUACAACCAAGAAAGGCCCAUACUUUCUCUCAUCAUCGCCAUGGACAGCUUUAAUAGACAGCUUAGCUCGGUACAUGUCAUUGUAUAUCGACGGCAUGGACAACCCUUCAUUGCUUUCCGCUUUCUUAAGUAUCUGCAAAACCGGGUCUACAGUUUUUUUCACAUAUUGAAUCUUCUUCCAGAAUGUGGGAUUAACCACAAUCUUUUCUACUUCUUUGCCCGCAUCUGAUUUGGACAAUUGGGAUGAUACCCAUUUGCUCGAUUGGAACAGCUUCUUAAGAGAAGGCCUUUGAUCUAGCAAGCUUUGCAAUGUAAGAAAAGUAGUUGCAAACUUUGUUAUUGAUAGUUUAAAGAGAUCCUUCCCCUCUGUGAAUUCUUCUUUCAUAAGGUUUGCUAGCCACACGCAAUUAUAAAUGUAUCGCGUAAUCUUUUGACCUUUUUCGAUGCAUUCUCUGACCCAUUUUAUCUCAGCAAAAUCCCCGAGAAUUUGAUUGAUGCAAUCCGCAGCAGAAGGCAUCCAGAAUAAGCUUCUUCUCUUCUCCUCUAGCAUCUUUCCAGCAGCUCUAUAAUAUGAAGAAUUUUCUGUGAUUACCUACGAUACGGAAAACUGCCAUUAGAGAGACUACAACAUUCUCAGAAAAAACAACAAGAGGCUCGGACAAUUUUCCAACAAUUUUAUGAAGGGUAAUGUAUGAAUAGUCCUUGUAUUGUCCCGAUAGAGUGACUUGUUCCCUGAACCUUUAGUCUCUAAACUUUCUGAAAAAUUGCGAUUUCAUCUGACUAUUCUAAUAUUUACUUGAAUCAGGGUUAAAAAGGUCAUUUUAUAGAGCAUAAACAAUGGAUUUUUCCCUCCCCCCCCCCCCCCCCCCCACUCUUAACAGUCCGAUAUGGAGUUGCAAUAUAAGAGAAAGUUUGGGACUAAAGAAACAAGUCACAACAUCGAGAUUUGUGCUAGUGCAAUUAACCUUUUAUGAGUAGUCUACUUAAAAGAGUAGAUAGAUUAUGAAAAUAAAUCUGGUACCUGCACCACAUUUGCCUCACCUACUUCCUCCACAACUUUGUCCAACAACUUGAAAAGAUGUGUAGCAUCUUUUACAAUGCGAGACACAUCUAUGGAGGAAACGAAGUACGUUCCUCUCGGGCAAGACACUAAGAAGUUGAUUAUCGUCCUUCCCUGCACAUCUUUCCAGCUAUCCCCUAUAAUACUGCAUCCGGUAGUAGCCCACGAAGCCUUAAUUUCCCCAAAGUAUUCUUUUAUUGUUUCCACUUCAUCAUUAAGUGAUCUAUUAGCAAGUAGUUUGCUUAUUGGGCUUUUAAUUCCAUGACCAUGUUGAGCAACUAAAUCUAGCAUCUUGUGGAAGUAUGCUGAAUCUGCGACAUUAAAAGGUAUAGCUGCAUAACAAAAGAAUUUACAAAUAGCAGAAAUUACUUCUUUAUGGCCUUUCUUAUCAGCCCCUCCCUUUUGUUUUGAAUGCUUAAAGGACAAAGAAUAGUUCCCUUUCUGGGAAGUGGCAUAGAGAGAGUCUGUAGUUAUAUUUCUAGACUUUUUCUUCAUAGCAUUACCACAAGAAACAUCUUGAUCGCCUACAAAAUUAUUUGCAUUAUUUCUUCCACCAGCAACUUCCUCCUCGUCAUUUUCUGUAUGCACGUAAAAUGCCGAAACUUCUUUUGUUUCUAUCCUUCGCCUUCUACCCGUUCGAUGCCAUUUCAUAUUUUCUUUCAUCUUUAGAUACACUUCCUCAGGAGCCAUUUUACAAUAUGCGACUUCUCCGGGAAUUCUCGCUAAAUGUUGCUUAAACCGGUUUAUACCGCCGCUAACUAUUUUCUCGCAAUAAUUGCAUUUUACCUUCUUUUUCUUUUCGUCUUGAGCAACACCAUGUUCCCAACCGGGGUCCACAUACCCUAACGAGCGAAGCGGAGUUAUAACCGUAGCUAAGCUUUGAUCAUUCACUUCCUUUCUUAAUUUCCUUUUAUAGUGGAUAGAGUUUUCCACAUCAUCAUCAUCAUCAUCAUUGGAGUGGACAUCGAAAGUGGGUUCCUUUUCUUUCUCUUCUAACUGCCGUUUUCUUGUAGAUCUAUAUCCUUCGAGAUUUUCUUUCAUUUUAAUGUACACCUCUUCAGGGGCCCUUUUGCAAUAUGUGACUUCACCAGAAAUUCUUGCCAAAUGUUGCUUCAGUCUAUAUAUUCCACCACUUACUAUCUUGCCGCAGUAGUUGCAUUUUACUUUCUUCUUCCUCUCGUCUUGAGGAACACCAUGUUCCCAUCCAGGGUCCAUGAAACCUGUUGACCUAAGAGGAGUCAUCUCUUCAACCAUUUGAAACUUGAGACAGGAGCUUAUACUUUUCGCCUUUCCACCAAGCUUCUGCAAUAGCAGUAACGUAAAUUAUGAACAGCCAAGAGAUACUUAUCCUAACAUAUUUUGUAGCAUUUUCAAAUAGGUAAAGAUGUUUGGAGAGUCUCCCUCUUUUUUUUUUUUUUUGCUCGAUUGACACCCCCGAACCUUUCACUAUUAUUUGUUUUAAGUUAUUCCCAUCAAUUAAUAUGAGGAUUCCACUGGAUUUAAGAGAGACUCCAUUGAUUUUAACAGCGCUUAAUGUUUUUCAAUAUGACAGAACAGCAGGUUCUGUCAACAGUUUGACCAUUAAUAGCUAAUGGCGCGCUAAAUUUCAAUGGAAUCUCCAAUUCAAGUGACGGAAAUAACUCAAUAAACGAGCAUUAAUUGAGAGGGUGCUAAUCCAAAAGAAAUAAACUGGUAGGUAUAAUUCGAAAUGGACUGUAGGUUAGGGCGUCCUAGUACAAUUUUACAUAUCAAAUGUUCACCAACGCAAGUAUCUUUUCAACUUUUUAGAAUUAAUCUUUCUUACUUUAAUUUUUACCAUGAAGAAGAUUUUUCCCUAUGGAUAAUCUAGAAAAGAAAAUUUACCAACACCAGAAUAGAAAAGAGAGGUAAAUUUACCUUGUCUGGCUAAUGAUAAUCCUUCGUCACGAUUCUGCCCUCAACUCAUAGAGAAUUAUGAAAUACAAAAAUUGAUAUAUUCUUGUGCAAUUGACUGCAGUUCAAUUUGAUAUUAACACCACAAGACUUGUCUAUCACGGCCCUAUCUUGUUAGACAGAAACGUGAUCCUUGAACCUAUUUAAAUUGAAAUUACAUAAUCAGUUUUGGAAAGGAUUAAUCAAAAGGCAAAACAAAAGGAAAAUGAGGAAAUACGACAAUAUGCUUAGUAUGUGAUCUAACACGGCAAUUUCGGACCUCUUGCUUAUCAUACACAGAAACGAAAAGAAAAAGGUAAAAAAGAACAACAACAAAGUACAAAUUCCUAAAUCACAGUUACAAUUAUAAGGCAACCAUGUUCACUAUUGUUGAAGCAUAUGAAAACUAUGUGGAAAAAUCAUCAAUGUAACUGAUGAAGAGGGAAUAUAAAAACAUUUCACUGAUUUCCAUUUGUGCAAGGAAUACCCUAAAUCCUGAUAUUAAGAGAAACUUAACACCGACCGCCAAUAGAUGUUUUGACAACCAAAAAAAAGAGGUUAGCUUCAUGAUUUUUUCUUUUUUUUUUUUGUUUCGAGAUGAUCUUCAUUCAUUAGAGUACAAAGUUACACAACUUUGAUUAAAGAGUAGAAAUGUGCGAAAAUAAAAAUAAAAAAAUUUCUUAAAUUCCAAAUACUGGCGAAAUUUGAACUGAACAUAAUUCCAGCUGCACUAAGUCCAGUUACUCAGAUGAAUCUACAUUAUCAAAUUACUAACUGCAUGAACCCUAAUUUCUGAUGUAAUUAACCUUAAUACUCACAUUAAUCAGAAUAUCAAAUUCCUCUUUGCAAUAACUCUUAUCUCUAAUUUAACAAGCCACAAUGAUUUCAAAUGAAAGAAGCAUAGAAAGCCACUGAAAUUACAAGUCCAAAUCUCAAAUUCCUAAAUGGUGCUACAAAUCGAACAUGCAAGCUACCCAACUACAAAUAUCCAUUAUAUAAGCAGUUCAUGCGAAUAGAUUCCACAAUUCCAUCAAUAGUCGAUUCAAACCGUAAACCCUAACACCAGCUUUUCAUACGCAACCCUCACCCUUGGUUGUAGGGGAUCGAACCUUAAAUCGAGAUUUUUUACCUCCAAUUAACGCACAAUUACCACACUAACCGCGAUCGGGGAGCGGAAAGGAGGGAUCUGAGGAUUACCCGAGUGGGAGCUCGAUCUCAUCCUCUUCACCUUCCGUGUCGCCGAGUUGUGUUCUUCGUCCCCGGCCCCCAUUCAUUGCUCGCGCGUUGACUCGGAACGAGAUUUAGCGCCGAGUCGGGGCCGGGGAAAAGCCGACUCGGAUCGAACCGGACUCGGCCGGUUCGACUCGCAACCCGGACGGGUUCGGAAACGACUCGGAACGAGAUUAUUUUUCCCAUUUCGAUAGGUCAACGGUCAACGCUCAAAAAGUUAAGAGAGAUUUUCAAAAAGGGCCUAUUUUGCCUAGCUUUUUAAAAAAUAAUUUUUGUAAAAGUGAUUUUGGUUGGAAAAAUUAAUUUUGGUGAAACUGUUUGAAGAAACUUUACAGUUUUUAGCUUCUAUAGCAUUUGUUGAAAUAUAUAUAUAUAUAUAUAUAUACAUAUAUAUAUAUAUAUAUAUAUAUAUAUAUAUUUGUUUAUUUAUUUAUUUAUUUAUUUAUUUAUAUAUAGAGUGAGAUUACUAUGCUAUCGGAAGCACGGAGCCUUCCGUGCUUCCAGCUCGUUUUCGAUGUUGCGACUUUCGAAUCGUCGAUCGGCUCCGUUAAACUUGAUCUAGAGUAUUUGAAGUACCUAGAAAAUAAAUUUUAUGAUUUUACGAUAUCAUUUGCCUAGUGAACGAAGGGGCUCAAAAUCAACGGCUGAAAAUAAAAAUCUUACAAAAUGUAAUAAUAUGACAUUAAAAUUUUAAAUCAAAGAUAUUGAUCUUGUUUUAUAUAGUAUAAAGAAUUUUCUAUCAAAAUUUCACAUGAUUUGAAUAUUUCUAUACCGUUAAACUUGCAAACGGCUCACUACGGCCAUUAAAAUUUGUUGAUUUUGAGGUCAUUCGAUCACUAGGCAAAUGAUAUCGAAAAAUAAUAAAAUUUAUUUUCUAGGUACUCCAAAUACUCUAGAUCAAGUUUAACGGAGCCGAUCGACGAUUCGAAAGUCGCAACAUCGAAAACGAACUGGAAGCACGGAUAGCAUAGUAGCCUCACUCUAUAUAUAUUUAUAUAUAUAGUUAAAUUGACUCUUAGUUGUUGUCUUGUUAUUUUCAGACAUAUGAAUAAGUUGUCUAAUCAUUAAUUCAUAAGACGAAAAAUGAUGAAGUUAAGUUCACUGAGAAAUUAAAAUUCAGCGACUCAGAUUGAUAAAAUUAUAAUGUAAUUUACUCUCUUAUUUAUUUAUCUAUUUAUUUAGUUAAGUUUCGCUUCCUCUGUGAUUAAAAAGCUUUUAAACUUUAAUUUACUUAAAACAUUUUAUUUAUUUGAAUUUGAAUUAAGUUUAGUUUCCAGAUUCCUGAGAUUAAACCUGGACAGAACCAGAGAGUUUAGAUCUGACAAUGUAGUUUCUGAGAUCAAACCAGAGCAGACAAUGUACAGAUGACGAAUCGAAUCGGUGACAGAGCUCUAUUGAACCAUCUAAUUUCGAAACCAAUAUCAGGAUUAGACAUUCCCGAACUCGACGCAAUCAGAUUGAGUAGAAAAUAGACUUAUAUAAAAAAGAUGAUAAAUAUGGUAAGUGAUACUGUACAAAUCUUCGGCAAUGUAAUUGAUACAAAUGUGUAUCUACCUUGUAAUUAAGACUAAAAUUUCAAAAUUUCGCAAAAUAACUGAACAAUUCAGAAUUACGCUUUGUUGCCAAAAUGUUCGCUAAUAAGUACUUAACCUGUAAUGUAACUAAAGAAUACAAAGUAAUAAGAACAAAUAAAGACUCAUGAAAUCUUUCGAGCUAUAUUUUUCAUCCCGGAUCCGACGCAUUUUAGUAUAACUGUGUUCGUACUCGUAUCGGGCUUGAUGACAAACUUAACUCCGAGAAAAUCCCUGAUAUUUCUAAGCGUUUCUAUGCCGUAGGGUGUGAGCGCUCCCACGCGAACCUUUGAUACAUCCGGCGGGCAUAGAGCACAAAGAAGAAAUAACAAGCCCUGAAAGAAAAAAAAAAAAAAUAUUGUUGUUAAAGAAAAUUAGUUGUUCACAAAUUAACCAGUUCACACCAAACUGGCCACCAAAUUUAUUCCCAAUUAGUCUCCCAAGAAGAUGAUUUAGCUGAAAAUAGUUUAGAGCAAAAAAUGUCGCCAUUCUCUCAAAAAGCUUCCUUGUCAAUGCAGGUGUUUCUGCAGCAUAUUAGAGUUAAAUUUGCAUCAAUUUGAAAUUAACCAAGUGAAAAGUAAAGAGGUUGGAAAGUGAAAUCAGACCUGGUGGGUAGAAUCAACUACUCCUCCCUGCUUGAUCUCUCCAAGCAAGAUAGAAGCAACUUCAAUACCAAUAUCCUCCGGAGUUUUAACUUCCGGCUUCUCCUCAGUGUCUUCAUCCAUUUCAUCCGCUUUUUCAGUACUUGCAAUAUCCGCGGAUAUCAAACAACCUGUAGUAGUCUCCGCAACCAAAGACAUGCCAUAUCCCGGUGACCUGCCGUAUCAUUCAGCUACUAGUUAGAUAAGAAGCCGAGACAUACCGUUGUAGCUAGAGCUUCCACUAAGGCUAUUUCGAAAUUGUUGGCAUAGCAAAAGUUCUAGUAUUUUCGCUAGACAAAAGCCUAAAAGAUGCCUCUCGGAGUCCAGAAGCAGUUUCGUAAGCCAAAGCAAACGACUAACAGAUGAGUCUUGGAGUCAAGCAAAUCAGAUGGUUUAACUCACAUGAAAUAAAUAAUACGCCCCGAAGGACAAAAGCAUAAUCUAUUCAUGAUGUUCUCUAAUAAAGCACUAGAUAAGACGAUAAAAAACAUAAAUCUGUACAAUUCCACAAUCUCAAGUACUAUUGUGACAUGUCGAAAACACCCAUAUUUUUUUUGGAUGAAAGAAAAAAAUCAAUUCAGGCGUCAGAUAUUACAUCCCUUGCUUGCUUGUGAAACAAAGACCUCAAACAACCAUUUGAUUUAGAGUUAAUACUUUAUUAUUUUCACAAAAUCAAGCACAAGGAUACACACAUAUAUAAGUUCAAAAAUUGAAUCCGAGAUUCUUUUUGUUUGUUAGGAAAGAAAAGCUAAUAUAAGAAGAAGAUAAAUAGCUAGUUAGAGUACCUUCCCCCAGCCGGACCAGAUCUAUGAUCGGUGAAGAUAUGAACAUCCGGUAUGAAGUUAUUGAAGACUCCACGUACAGCAUACACCAUACGAUUUCCAAUCUGAGGAGACACUCUCGUGGAGAAUGUUAUCCCUCUAAUUCUCUUAACCAUCCCUUCGUCCACCCAAUGCGUUGCCUGAUUGGCACAUUAGAUACUUUAAGUAAAAUCUUUUGGGAAAAGGUAAAUGAAAUAACUAUCAACAUGCCAUUUACACCCACCGUUAAUGUAUUAGGGAUGAUAGGAACUCGAAGAAGGACCUCUCCGCCGCCAAGAGGAGGAGCACCACGACUUUCUAUUUUCAGCUCCAGCCCUUCUAAAGGAACACCAAAGCGCCUAAGCAUAUGCAACGUGGUAGUCCGAAAGGUAUCGACAGACGGGUCCUUGGAAUCAUUAGUAAUUCCUGACGAGCGAAGCAUCAAAGUGGUGAUUCACAUGCAACGAGAAAAGCAAAGUCAAUUUGGAUUUUGUAUUGCAACACUUAUCUAUUUUAUGAACUAAAACUCGGCAGUAUUGAAUGGCUGAAUACUACCGAUUAAAGUAACAUGGAGAUCUACCAAAGUCAAUCUAUUUUUAAACCGUUCAAUCGCUCUUUUCUUUGUUCUCACUAAGCCUACUUAAUAGGAGAAACUUAAAUAAGAUUACUGUCGACAAGCGAAUUUGAAAUCUACCCUAUGAUGUCAAACGCCAAAUUUUAUGCUGGCCCGAUUCUCUGCACAAGAACAAUUACAAUCAAAUUGACCAAAGAAAAAAGGGGAAAAAGCAAAAUUUUACUCCCGAAAUUCCCUUUUUCCCUCCCUUCUCAUAAGUUUAAUUAAGCAACACAAAUAAAAAAAAAAAGACGAAUUAAAAGGAGAGAGGAAGAGAUAGAUCAAACCUUUGAGCCUAAUAGAGAGGGGCUUCUUCCCGAAAAGCCCCAAAAGUAUCAGCGGCUCGAGGAAGUACCCGAUCGAGCGGCUCAAACCGCAAUCGUGCACGAGAUUCUUUCCCCCGAUCAAAACUCCGGGCUUGUAUAGCAACUCCGUCCCUAAAUCGCCCCAAAAAAACACACCAAAACAAAAACGAAUCAAAGCUAGGGUUUUUGUUCAAAAUCGAGAAUCGAGAGGAAGGGAGAUGGGGGGAUCGAUCAGGAUUAUUACCGCUUUCGCCGAACUCGAUCAAGGAGUGGUCCGUGAUCUUCUCGAGGAGGCGGAAGAGGGAGACCUCGUGGGGUCGCAGCCCCGGGAAGGUGUCGUCGGAGUGGAUCUCCUUCACCACGAUCGGCGUCGCCGUGAGAGUCGCCAGCACCAGCCGCUGCCGAAGGUGGCGGCUCCCCCUCAACCUCAUGUACGUCGUCUUCCCCAUCCCUACCUCUCUCUCUCGAUCUCCGCGGCGGUGGUCGUAAAACCCUAAUGGAGAGACGUUCUACAGUGGAACUAGGGUUUUAGAAUUGCUCUGGCCCCAAUCCUAUGCAUUUAAAUAGCCGGUUUGAAGCCGCCAAAUCUUAUCUAAUAGAUUGAAUGAUAAACCGGUUCUCUAUUCUAAAGAGGGCUCGGGUUGAUUCGUUAACUAAUCAAAAACCCGUUAAUAUUUUUAAAAUUAAUUUUUCAAAAUUAUUUAAUAAGGCACUCAUAAUUUCCUAUUUGGUUUUAUAUUUCAUAAAAAAAAUAUAAAUUUUAAGUGCUACGAUUGCUCUCUUAUAUACAAAUUUCCUAUUUGAUUUUAUAUUUCAUAAAAAAAAUAUAAAUUUUAAGUGCUACAAUUGCUCUCUUAUAUACAGUAUAUAGGGGGCACGUUUGGUUCGAAGUCGAAAUCGGAAUUAGAAUUAGAAUCUAAAUCGAAAUCGAAAUAAAUUAGAAUCAGAAUCGGAAUGACUCAUUAUUUAAUUCUAUUUGGUUCGUCAGCUGCAUCGAAAUCGAAAUAAAUUAUUUUUAUUAUCGAUGUUUUAUUCAUAGAUAUAAAAUAUACUAAUUUUAUCUUUAUAAUAUAUUAAUUUAAAUUCAAAUUAAAAAUUAAAUAUUAAAAAUUUAUAUCAAAAUUUUGAAAUAAUAUCAAAAUUUUAAAUCUACUUUUUUAAAAAAAAUAAAUUAAAUUUUGAAGUUGAGCGGAUAGAAGAGUUAUUUUAAAGAGAGAACAACUGAUCUCUUAUUAAAACACUAAUAUCUAUAAUCUAACUCAGCAUAUUUAAGAGAAUUUAAAAUUUUACAGAGAUAAAAUUAACUCGGCAUAUUUAAGAGAAUUUAAAAAUCAGAAACGAAAACAAAAGAUCAACUUCUCAAACUGCUCUUAAGCAUUACUGCUUUGUAGCCGAACAAAAUUUCCAAUACAACAUAAAAAGAGCACAAUCUAACUCUUAUCUCUACUCAAAUCUCUCAAAAUUUCUAUGCAUCCAACUCAACCCCGGCCAUAGGGACAGUCCGGUGGUCGGCUUCAUCGUCGCUAUCUGCAUUGCCCUCCUCAGCAGAAUUGAUAUCACCAUCAGAACCCAGAUCUUUCAUCCUGUAAUCCACCUUGAAAUCAUAAUCGGCGUCCAUUUCAUUCAAUCUAUUCAGUUUGUUCGCCUUCCUCCGCGUCUUCUCGGCUCUUCGCUUGCGAGGAUCUAAUAUGCCCUCGGCCGUAUAUAACUUGUCGUUUUGCCUGCUUACACCGCUAGGCGCGGAUUCAAAAUGAGACUCAGCAUCGAGAGCCAUAGGCUCGUCCGUGUUCUCAGCAAUUUCAGUUUCAUUCUGCUUCGGGUUAUCCUGCAAAGAUCAAGAUAUAAGUUUCCUUGUUUCGAUUAUUGAUAUGUAAAAAGCAUCCGAAACUAUCUAUCCACAAAUAUCACCCUACAAAACCUGAAUUUCUGCAUCUGCCCUGCAAAAGUAAACUUAUCAAACAUAUACCCUGUUACUUUCAAGUUUUAACAACAAAACAUCUCUUCGAACACCAAAAUAAUAUUUCUAAUUCACUGUUGGAUUGACUCCCCAGCUAAAGAUAAUGAAUAUACAUUUGCAAGAGACUGAAGAUUUGAGGGGCGCGCAUUCCAAAAUCUAUAGGAUUAUGUAUGUAAAUAGAUGAUUUUACAGGCCUAGGUGUAAAUGCCUUUCUUUAUCGAGCACUAAAAAUUAACCAAGUAUAAGCUGCUGAGUACAUGGAAAAGAAAAAGAUCAUGGCAUACUUCCACUGCAUGCAUAUGAUAUCAAGAUACGAUGCAACUUUAUAUACAAUAUGUUCACAAAGCAUCAGAAAAGAAUUUGAUAAUCAGAAACAAUAAGCCCCUCUAUGACGAUAAACAUUCCUUAAAGCAAAAACCAUGGCAAUUGGUUUACCAUCCAAGGAAAAAAGUGAUUCCAGUCGUGAUACUCGUAUCUAGGAAAUAUGAUUUGUAUAGGUCAAUGUCACUAGAAAUUUCAUUUGAUCAGAGGAAUUUUUUUAUUUAAAAUAAAGGGGUCAAAGAACAAACCUCCUGUAGCAUUUGCUCAUCAAAUUGCGGAGGUGAAUGGGGAGGUACUUCAACAUGCCGGAAGUCCUCGACUGAUGCUAGGCUACCAAUAAAUGAGGAUUCGGUCUUGUACACUUCAUCAACGUCGAAUUCCUUCCCAAAUUCUGAAACAAUUACCGCAUCCAAAUUCGCCCCCUGAUCCCUCUUGGGAGGCUGUGUGUAAUAUGGAAUUUUACCUACCAACAUCAAAAGAAAAGGGAAAAAAAAAAAGGGUCAGCCUCGAGAGGAAAACAAAUCACGGAAAUCAGCAGAAUUACGAGAACAUAAAUGAGGAGAAACAUACCCUCGUUCCAGUCAUGAAGCACAAUUCUAGCUGCAGCUUCAAUGUUGACUACUCCACCCUUUUUCAACUUACCCCUAAUAGUAGCCACUUUCUGAAGGAAGUCAUCAACUGAGCUGAAGCUCGGCAAUUUGUACAAGGAUAGCAACUUCUCGGCUGGGCAAAGGUUGAGAAUCUCCUUCACUGCAAGAGUUUCAUAAUCACAGUACUAGGUAAAUCUAAAGCGUGCCAAAAUAUAUUGCAUAAAAAUGGCAAAUUUAUACGAAUAUGCAAAGAUUGGACAGCACAAUGGCUUGGGUAGCAUCCUAUGAUAGUCGAUAGCAAAUCAGCAACCUAAAACGUUACAUCUUCAUUGAACUGCAAAAAGUAAUAAAUGCAAAAGACAAUGAUCCAUGAAAAUAAUUUAAGACAGUAGAGCAAUGACAGUGCCGUCAUCAUCACUGUCACUGUUAUUUUCUCAUCAGUAUCUCUCUGUCAUGCCUUUUUGUAUAUUUACUUAUCUAGGCAAAAACUAGUAAACACCAGAGGUUUUCCUUUAUUUUUAAAGCAGGUUUUUUUUACAAUAGUUUAAGCACCCAUAAAUUCUCUCUCUCAAACAAAAAAAUUUAUAUUCUAUAAGUUUACCAGGAGUAACUGGAUCGUCCAACUUCUCAAUUCGUUUACAGUUGCGAAGGGUGAUGGACACAUCACCCUCAGAGGACUUGAGCAUCACUACACCAGGGCAGUCAAGUAAUUUCACCUUCUUAUCUAACUGGAUUUCUUGCAUCGAUUUGGUGACUCCUGGGGUCGCACCGACGUUAACUACAUGGGAUCUCUUCAAACUGUUGAUCAGACUGCUCUUUCCAACAUUAGGAAGCCCAACAAUACCCACAGUAAUUGACAAUUUGAGCUGUCAUGCCAAAUUAGACAAUAUAAUAAUUAGAAGUUAAGUGGAAGGCAUCGAUAUCUAAAUAGAAGAUUGAGCCAAAUAAAAAUAAACGUUUUGCAGAUGAAAUUAUGCCCCACAGAAGAGAAAAUCUUAUCCUUUUUAUAUACUCAAUGGGCAUCUAUUUAAUAUACUAUUCAAAUUUCUUAUGUUGCACGAAGAAAAUUGCUAACAACUUAGGUUUAAGUCUUGGGCCAAAACUAGAAUAUUUGAUGCCUUCUCUUAACUGAGAUGUGAGAACCUUAAGCAUCAGAGAAAUAGGGCUGUUUGACCAGAUGUUGUAUAGCUCAUUGUGAUCGAAUUAAUUGCUGCCAUCAAUGAUGGCAUGUGAAGCUAAAAAGUUGUCUUUAUCAAGUAAAAUAUUUGUCGGAUAUCAUUAGUAAUUUAAUUCAUGAAUAGGUUUCUAAAUGUAAAUAGUUGAGCAUGCCAAACACGGUUGCACAUUCCGCGGAAAAUAACCAACAAAUGGUUAUACAGGAUGAGAUCAGAAACAACUUUUAAGCUGCAAAUUGAACAUUCCCCAUUCGGUCCAUAUUAACUAAACAUGCAUGAAAUGAUUUAAUUCACCCAAGUGAAAAAAGAAUGGCUUUUUGUCACCUCGUGGCUUCUAGUAUAAUUCUUUAACAAUUUGAUGAGAGUUUCAGCACCAAGGCAAUCACUUGUUUGAAGAAGAUUGCUUGAUUUGGAAGCCUUCGAAGAUUUCCACCCCAAAUUUGAUCGCUGCUCCUGUGUACUACACUUGAAGGCUACUGUCGGCAAUUCUUCUCUUAGAUAUGUGAGCCAUUUCUCCACUGCUUCCCUAGGAACAAGAUCUACAGUACAUACACAAAUAAAAAAUCAUAAAUAAUGAGAUUGGGCACUUUUGAUUUAACACCAUAAAAGCGACUGAAAAGGCAUAGAUCUUAAUUGAACAAUUGUGCAAUUUAAAAUGGGUGCUGAACUUCGAAAAUUUUGAUUUUACGGCCUAAAUUUAUUGAACUUUUGAUUUAAACCACCGCAGUCAGAACUUGAGGGCAUCUUUUCUACUUUUAAAACAAAUAUUCUAUAUCCUAAUAAAAUAUUCCAUUACUUGUCAGAACAUUCUAUAAAUUCUCUGUUUCUAAAAUCGAAAAAUAGUAAAAAGUUAGUGAGUAAAAUCAAAAUUUAUAAGGUAUAAUGCCCCAUAUUAAUAUACUCUAUAGUUAAGGAAAGGUCUUAUACAUUUUACCAAACAAUUUUAUGAAUGUUUGUAUUAAUACAACAACAAAAAUUGAUAUUGUAUCCAAUAAACUUGAAUUUUUUUAAAAACAUCCAGGUUAAGUGAGUACCUAUUUUGUUCAGAAGCAAUAUAAUGCGCUUAUUUGGAUCCGCCUUCAAUAUCAUCUUUUCCAUGUCAAGACAACGAGUACCAAGUGGAUCCCUUGCAUCAAGAACCUCAAGGAUUACAUCUGAUGCUUCUAUAACUUUUACCAGCUCCUUGUAGAAAGAUCUCUCAGAAUGGUCUGCUAGAAAUGUACCAAUUAAUUCAGAAAAUAUUGGAAAUGGAAGAGAUAAGGCUAUGGUCGAAAUUCUAUUACUCCAAAGCUUAAUUACCAUGGCUUUUGCCCACAACUGAAUUAUCAUCUGCUUUACUCUUCUUUGCAAACUCAUGCUCUUUGGCAGAAGCUUCGGAAGCAAAACUGGUCAAUUCACUAUCCUCUUCAAGUAAACCAAGUUUCCGCUUCUUAGCCUGCUUGUUUACAAAAUUGCAUCCAUAAUAUAAUAGUACUACAAUGCAAGUUCAUGGUAAACGCAUACAAAAACCAAAAUACAACAAGCAUGCAGUUCUGGCACUACUAACAAACAGAAACGGUAUAAGCAUUCUAAUCCAGCUAGCAAAAAAAUCUGGUGAAUAUAUCAAUAUCUAAUAUGCCAUCAAGGUCAUAACAUUUAUGGUGAAAGCUUUUUUUCCCAGACAAAAUUAAUCCUCAAAACAGACAAUUUGGCAUGAACCGUCAACCACCAACCUUCUUAGUCUGUAGGUUGGUAUGCAUUCAUGUAUGCUACAUGAGCUCAAGAUGAUUUGAGUAGUUCUUUUCAGAUUUACCCGGAAAAAAAAUUUCUAUAUGGUUUCCUGCUGCAUAACCUAAAAUAGCUGAUACCAUCUAUAAACCAUUCCAAGAAAUAAGAAAUUAUCCAGCAGACAUUGUCAAGUUCCUACUAGCAAUCACAAGUUUCCAACUACAAGAUAUUAAACUCAGGUUCUGUUUGAAAUCUGUAUCCGCUAACAACCCAGUUUCAGAGACAUAAUCGCAAAAUUCUAAAAUUACUUUGACAGCCUCCUUCCAAGUUCUCUCUCUUUAACUCCCCCUGUAUCACAGUUUGAGCAGCUUCCAGGCUAUAGGAAAUUAGGAAUUCCAACUUGCUGUUGGCCAAUAGCUAAGCAAAAAACAAAGCAUAGAUCAAAUGCUUAGGCGCAUUAUCCAAUCAAUUGAUGUUAGACAAAGCAAUUACGAAGAACCAAAGAUUAAAGUGAUGUGGCACAGGUUGUGCCGAAAACUUGCUUGCACCGUAGGGCACCGCCAUGCGUGCCGUGCGGUGCUACGUUGGACACCAAAAAUAUUUCUGUACUGACAUAUAAUGGCAUAAAAUAUUUAUCUUUUUGGCACCAAUAUGUUCUAAUCGUUGUCUUUAUUAAAGCUUUUGAGCAAAUAUCUCUGUAUUGACACAUAAUGACAUAAAAUAUUUAUCUUUCGGGCACCAAUAUGUUCUGAUCGUUGUCUUUAUCAAAACUUUUGAACUUCACUGAGGUAAACGCUAAUUUCAAAACAAAAAAAAAGAGAGUUUGAGUCAUGUCAUCAGCACGGAGGUCAUAUUGUGCCAAUUUUUUAUUGGUACAGUUGGUACGGCCUGUACAGAUGGGCACUUAAACACUUGUGAAGAACUAGUUGAGCAUCUAAUGAUGACAUGGAUCCUAGCUACAACACAUUACCAUCACGAUAUCAUAUUCUACGGAAAGAAGAACAAAUAAAAAUGAAUAAUAAUGAAGAUCACUUCUUUCCCAAAAAAAUUACUAACUUUAAGCACAAGAAGAGAUUUUGGGAAGCAAGUACCCUCUCUUUGCGAGCGGCCUUCUUCUGCUCCAGCUCCUCCAACGCGCGCUCUCUCCGUGCUUCCAGUGCUUUGAGCUCCUGUUCCUUGAAAGGCCAAUCAUUGGGAAUGCCGGGGUCCUUCUCGACCUUCUUCCUAUUGUUCAGUCCAAGCUUCUUAGCUUCCUUCGCCUUCUUUUUGUGGUGCUCCUUCACCUUCCGUAACACCUUGUACUUCUUUUUAAGAGAAAUCCUCUUACUCUUGCUCUCUAAAUGACCCAAAAAAGAAUACCCCACCCCCAAUAAAAUAAAUUAUGUUAUGUGUCAUCAAAUCAAAGAACUAGGAAAGUAACUUUUUUUCCUUUUUUUGAGGUACUGAGCAAGCGCUUACUUUUGCUCUUUUUCACCAUCUAUCUUCAAAUCCUCUCAAGCUUACCUGAAGAUGCAAAAAUGAAAAUGAGAAUUCAUUUAAUAUUAAGUUUGUAAUCUCAAAUCUCAAAUUAUUUCAAUAAUAAUAACUAUAAGCAAAUCCGGUAAUUUGAUGUCGGACUAAGGGUGAAACAAGAAAAGUAAACAAUGGACACAUCAGCUCACGAUUUGCUUCUUGUGUUAGGUGCUGUUUUAGGCAAAAUUUAGGAGAUUAUCUGUUAUGGAGGGAGGGAGGAAGAUGAGGGGGGAGGGAAGGCAGCAGCACGAACUUGCUGUGGUGGAGGUGGCUGACGGGGGCUGGCGGCGGUCAGACAGCGGCGAGGUGGGGGCCGACGGAGGCUGGCGGCGGUCAGACAGCGGCGAGGUAGAGAAGAAGAUGGUGCUGGCGGGCGAAGACGGUAGCGGAGAUUGAGGAGGGGAAAGGGGAAGGGGACGCCGGCACAGAGCGGCGGGCAGGCUUGAGACUGGGGGAAGAAAUUAGGGUUUGCUAGGUUUUAGAUUUAAUUUCGUGUGUAUAUAUAUAUAUAUAUAUAUAUAUAUAUAUAUAUAUAUAUAUAUGUACUAUAUUAUCAGGUCAGCCGCUACUAUGCUAUCGGUAGCACGGAGCUGUUCCGUGCUACAAGUUGUGUUUCGAUGAUGCGACUUCCAAAUCGACGAUCGGCUCCGUUAGACUUGAUCUACAUAUAAAAGUAUUUGGAAACUAAGAUUUCAGAUUUUUUCUACAUCAUUUGACUAGUGAUCAAAAGAUCUCAAAAUUGACAAUUUUAAUGGCCGAUGUGAUGUGUUUGUGAGAGUUUUACAGUGUAAAACAAUUCAAAUGCAAUGAAAAUUUUAUAGAAAAUUCUUUUCACUAUUUAGAGUAAGAUCAGUAUAUCUGAUCUUGAAUUUAAAUCUUUUAUCAUCAUUUUUUAUGAGAUUUUUAUUUUCAUCCGUUCAAUUUUAGACUACUUGUUUGAUAGGUAAAUGAUAUCGAAAAAUUAUGAAAUUUAGUUUCUAAAUAUUUUCAAUAGUAUAGAUCAAGUCUAAUGGAGCCGAUCCUCGAUUUGGAAGUCGCAUUAUCGAAAACAACUUGGUAGCACGGAGCGUUCCGUGCUACCGAUAGUAUAGUAGCCUAGUUCAUCCUCGAUUUGGAAGCCGCAUCAUCAAAAACAACUUGGUAGCACGGAGCGCUCCGUGCUCCCGAUAGUAUAGUAGCCUAGUUCUAUAUAUAUAUAUAUAUUAAUUUUUAAAAUUAAUUUUUCAAAAUUAUUUAAUAAGAAAAAACUCUUAUCUUCAUCCCUAGGCAGUCGUAAUUCCCUAUUUAGGGGCUCGUUUGGCCUAACUUUUGAAAAAGUAAUUUGUGAAAAAUAAUUUUAGUUUGGAGAAGUGAUUUUGGUUAAAAGCUGUAGAGUAUUUGGCUGACUUUAAAUUGCCCACCUGUGGUUUCGUUUUUAUCUUUUCGGUAGUUUUUUUUGUUAAUAUUUCAUUAAAUUAUAUACAAAAAACUUCGGAUACCCAUCUAGAUUUAUCAAAUAUUCACUUUAGUACCCUUUAAUUUUAACUUUAUCACUGAUUUAAGAAAAAAAAAUAAUAAAAUUGAUAAGAAAAGGAGAAAAAAGAAACCACAGGGGGAAAAACUGAUACAUUUUAAACCACAGGGGGGCAAAGUGAGAAACUACAAAACCACAGGUAGGGCAAAGUGAGAAACUGCGAAACCACAGGGGGGUUUUUUGAAGUUUUUCCUUAAAAAUAUAAAUAAUUAUGAAAUCUAAAAUAUAAAAUUUUAAUAUUUAAAAAUAUAAUUUUAAAAUUUAAAUUUUAAAGUUAAAAUUUAAAAUUUUGAAAAAUUUAAAAUUUAAAAUUUAAAAUAAUUAUUAAGUAUAAAAUAUAAAUUUUUAAAAUUUGAAUGUUUAAAAUUUAAAAUUUAUAAUUUGAAGAUUAAAACUUGUAAUUUAAAAUUUCAAAAUUUCAAAUUUUUAAAUUUAAAUUUUAAAAUCUAAAAUGUCAAAUUUUAAACUUUAUCUUAAAUUUGAAAUUUGAAAUUUAAAAUUUGAAAAUUUGAAAUUUGAAAUUUAAAAUUUGAAAUUUUGAAAUUUAAAAAUUAAAAUUUUAAAAUCUAAAAUUUGAGAUUUGAAAUUUAAAAUUAAAAUUUAAAAUUUAAAGUUUGAAAUCUUUUUUUCAAAUUUUAAAAUUUAAAAGUUAAAAUUUAAAAAUUUAAAAAUAAAUUUGAAAAUUAAAAUUUAAAAUAUUAAAUUUAAAUUUAAAUAUUGAAUUUAAAAUUAAAAUAAAAUUUUGAACUUUGAGUUCAAAAUCAGAAUCAGAUUUUAAGAAGCAGUUUCUUUAUGUUUCUGAUUCUGGGGCUUUCAAAAUCAGUUUUUUGAUUCUAAAAAGUAGAAGUAGAUUUUAAAACUGAGGUUGUCAAACGCUCUAUUGGGCUGAAAAUUAAUUUUCAAUCCAAAAGCGCUUUUUAAAAGCUAAGCCGAACACCCCUUUAGUUUUCACCAAUAUCUCAUAAAUUUUUAUUGAAAAAAUAAAUAUUUCAUAGUAUAUAAAUAUAAAUUACAAAUGCUGCAGUUAGCUCUCUUAUAUAUAGUAUGAAGGUCUGGCAUAGUCACGCUGAAGAAAUGAACUUUCGUUCCCACCAAAAAUAAGAAAACUACUGGAACUAGCUAAAACAUGAAAAAAACACACAUACACACACAACUAGUGUGAAUUUGUAAACCAAAACAUGCAAAAGUAUAUAUAUUCUAGAAAAAACUUCAAAAAACCACUAUGUGAUUUCAUACUUUUUCACUUUAGCAUCAUGUGGUAUAAAGUGUAUAAGUUAGCAUCUUGUGGUUUCGCACUUUCUCACUUUAGUACCAUGUGGUUUAAAGUGUAUCAAGUUAGUACUCUGUGGUUUCAUUUUUGUAUCGAGUUAGUAUCCUGUGGUUUUAUUUUUUUGUUUCUAUUAUCCAUUUAGGGGUAUUUUUUCGCUAAAUCAAUGACAAAGUUAAAAGUAAACGGUACUAAAACGAAUAUUCGAUAAACCUAAAUAGGAUAUCUAAAGUUUUUUAUAUAUAAUUUAAUGAAAUAUUAAACCACAUGAUACUAAAGUGAGAAAGUGUGAAACCACAGGGUACUAAAUUGAUACACUUUAAACCACAUGGUACUAAAGUGAAAACUUGGUACUAACUUGAUACACUUUAAAUUACAGGGUACUAAAGUGAGAAAGUGCAAAACCAACGCGGGGUAUUUGAAGUUUUCCCUAUAUUCUAUAUUUAAAUUUAAAAUUUAAAUUCUAAUUACUUUUUAAAUUAUUUUAUUUCUGUAUUUUGUUUUCUUUACUUUAGUUUGGAUCAGUAAUAGAUGUUCGAGUCUCAUCGCUUCCGAACGCAUAUCAGUUCACCCAACAUUUUAUCAAUUACAAAUUUUGACUAUAUCAAAUUUUCUAAAAUCAUUCAAUAUUAUUAUAGUUUAAACUAUAUUUAAUUUAAUUACUUGAUUAUUCUGUAAAGUUUAAUUUAAUAUUAUUUAGUUAUGUUUCACAUUUAGGCUUCAAUAUUAAAAAAUUAGUUUCUCUAGUAAAUUUUAGAUAUUUAGUUUUUUAAUGUCUAUUUUUUUUUACUAUUUAAAUAUUUUAUAUUUAAUAACCAUCCGGUGCAUGGAUUGGACUAUAUUUGGGUUCAUGUACAAAGCCUAGAGACUUUCCCUUUCAAAAAAUUUAAAAGUUCAUAUAUUUUAUCUUAAAUUCAAAUUAAAUAAGAUAAUGAAAAUAUAUUAGAAUAAAGAUAAAAUAAGACAACAAUAUAUUAAAAAAAAAAGUAUUUAUCUCACAACCUGAAUAUAGUAGAUUUAACUUAUGAAUAUAUAAAAUCCGAAUAAAAUUCAGAAUAAAUUUCAAUUUUUAAUAUAUACAACCUAACUAGAAUUUCUAAUUAAUAACCAAUAAAUAAAACUCAUUGCUGAAAAAAAUAAAAUAUUUUUUUAAAAUAUUUAAAUAAGUCUACAAAAUAAAUCUAAUUUUUGUAUUCUAAAUAGCAACUUCAAAUCUGUGAAAUAGAUAUAGUUUACUAUUUUAUUUAAGUUAUAGUAAAACCAGGCUAGAUUUUGAAUUGAUCAUAUUUAUCCUCAAUUCAAAUUAAAUUAAAAGCUAAAAUAUUAUAAAAAUAUAUUAGAAUAAAGAUAAUGUAAGAUAAUAAUAUAUUUUAAAUAAAAUAAGUUUUCACUUUUUAAUUAGACUAGAUUUUGAUAAAUUUGCUAUAAAUCAACUAUCAACUAAUCAGAUAACUCUGAUUAGUGCAAAAUCCUAUACCGAAAAUAGGAUCUUCUGGCAAAAAUUUCUAAUUCUGAGGAAGUUGUAAUUAAAUUUUGGACUUUUUCCCAAAACGAUCCUAAAAAAUUUUUUAAUUGGGUAAACAAUUCUAUAAUUUUUUUUUUUUUUGACAAACUAAUCAUUCUUUUGCCAUAUAUUAGCUAUAUUGGAAUUUUCUCUUAAAAGACGAUGAAUGAUUCACCAUUCUCGGUUAACGAUUCACUGCUUUCCUAAUUUUUCACAAAAGCGGUGGAUCGUUCAUUGUCUUUUACUUAUUUACUAUUUUUUCUAUAUUCCAAUCCUAAUAACCACAUAAAUAUUUCAACAAAUCAUAUAUAAUCUUAACAACCUGAAAAUCCUAAUAAUCGAUUCAUACAAUCCUAACAAUUAAAUCACAUAUAAAUUUGGCAGAAUUAUUUCACAAAUUAUAAAAUUUUAGAGGAUUGUUUUGUCAAAAAAGUCCGUAAAUUUCAAUUAGAACUAUCUACGAGACAAACACAAGCGAGCCAGACCGGCUCAAAAUUAUUAGAGGCUGCCUCGUGUUUGGCUCGAGCUCGCGACGAGCUGGAAAACCCUAGUUUAUGAUCGGAUUGCAAUUUAAUGAGCUAGCUCAUAUUUGGUUCGUUUAUUAAAUGAACGGUUAAUUCAAUCGCAAGCGCAUUACAUGUUGAAUAUAUAAGCCUAUUUGACUAGAUUUUAAAUUCAUCAUAUUUUAUUUUGAAUUCAAAUUAAAUUGGAACUAAUAAAAUUAAAUCGCAAGUACUUCUUCCUCUAUUUUAUUAUCAUUAUUAUCAACAUUAUUAUUUUAAAAGAAUUUACUUGCACAUCUUAAAAGAUGUGUAAAUUUUAUACUUCUCAUCUUAGGAUUCAUAAAAAUUUGGAUAAUUUUUAAUAAAAUCUAAAAACUUGAUGUCACUAAGUAAAGAAUGAUAGCGAUUGAAUAAAUUAUUAUUUAACUCGAUGUUCAUGAGCCAGCUCGUGUUCAGCUCGAAACAAGCUCGAUAUCUAUCGCUUGUUUAAUAAAUGAUCAAACUCGAGCUGAAUUUUUCACCUCGAAUUUUUUAUGAGCCGAACACGAGCUAAUUAGAUUAACUCGUUUUUUUUCAGCUCAAUAUAGCUAAAAAAUAUUUAUUACAAAUUUUUACUAUUUGGAUUUUAGGCUAACUCAAAAAAAAAAAAAAAAUCUACAUUGUGUGAAUUUAAUUAUUAGAUUAAAAAUCUAUUUUUUUAAAUUUUUUUCUAAUUUUUCACCCAGCGGUAAAACUGAUAAUCUAACUUAUUGUUCAUAAGCUAGCUCGUGUUCGGCUAGUUAAUAAAACAAGCCAAAUACGAGCUGAAUUUUUAAAUUCAAUAUUCUAAAUGAACCGAACACGAGCCGGUCCGAGCUCGCCCGUGUUCGGCUCAGGUUUACAGUGCUAGUCGAAAGUAUAAAAUAACCUAGGCCUAUUUUGCUCCGAGGUUUAUUUCAGAAAAAAGUUUUCACGCAGAUACAAUACAAUGUUUUCGUGCAGAUAAAAAAAAAAAUAAAUAUAUAUAAUUCGGCAAUGUUUGGUUGGAGAAUAAAGUGGGGGAUAAAAGAUAGACGUCCUCGCUAUCUAGGAGGGGCGAGAACGAGAUCUCAGUGAUCAGACACCGAUUUCUGACGAAAACACCCACUAAUUUUGUUAUAAGCAGCAGUUUAUCAUACAAAGUGUCAGAUUUAAAUUCACUUCUAUACUAAAUCGUUGAUUUUAUCGGCUAUUCGAGCCCUUUUCUCAGAACAAGCAAGUUGCUUAGUUUCUGCAACAGGAUCAGAAAUCAAUCUGCCUCUGAUGAAACUUCAGAAGCUUCAAUUUUUGCGGCUGCAGAGCAAUGCUUUAAGAAGAUAAGCUCAGUGGAUCAAACCACCUGCAUAAAUAUAAGUGAGACCAUGCAUCAUUGGAUCAGCUUAUGCUUCCCUGUGGAAUAUAUAAGAAAAGAGCACUAAAUUGCAAAUUUUGAGUCCAAAGUUACGUUUUGUGAGGAAGUGCUUCUCAGAGGUAGAACAGGAGAUUCUCCUAAAAGUCAAGAUCUUCGUGUGGUUGGUACUGAAAAGAAGGGUGCUCACCGCGGACAACCUCCGAAUACGGGGUUGGAAUGGCGAGGAAUGCUGCGUUCUCUGUCUCAACGAGAGUGAGACUGUGGAUCACUUAUUCAUGAAAUGUGAUAGAGGGUUUUAUCCCCAAUAAACUAGCUCUUUGUAUUUGUAAUACUGCCAAUUCGCUCUGGGAUGGGAGCCGGCAUAAAAGUGGAGUGCUGGGUGGAAGGGAAUUAGCGACAGUUGCCACAACGUGGCGGGUCAUUUGGUUGGAGCAGAAUAGAAGAAUUUUUCAGAAUUCUAAACAAACAGCAGGUGGCUUAGUGACUGAGAUACGCGCACUUAGGAACAUUUGGAAUCCUUUUUGUUAAUUUUUUUUUCUCCUAAAAAACAAAGGCCAAAAUUCAUACUUCAAAUGAAUGAAGCGAUAGCAUACUAAUAAUUCUAAAAGAAAAAAAAAAGGCAAAACAGGGGAAAUUGUAUAUAUUUCAUCCAAUAAAAUUGUCACCAGAGUUUGUGGAACAAUCAUAUCAAAGCCAAUUACAGUUGACAUUUGAUAAACAUCUAAAGAGAUCAAGGAUAAAUAAAUAAAUAAUGAUGAAAUAUUAUGCAGCAAGAGAGAGAGAGAGAGAGAGAGAGAGAGAGAGAGAGAGCAAUGAUAAAUUUCUACAACCUCUCUUCCUAUGUAAAUUAAAUUAACACUUAAACAAACUAUUUCCAAAACAAAAAACAAAAAGAAAGCAAUUAAGAACACUUACUGUUGAUUCCAACAGAGUGAUUCUCCAACACCUAAACAUGCAACAUAUUCAUAGUCAAGUGCACCAGAUUCAAUGAUGCAGAGAUCCUCCAGCAGGGCCUCAUACCGCCGCCGCGCGUCCUCCGCGCUCUUCUCUCUUCCGACCAUCGACGCGAUCUCCGCCCACCGGUCAGGGCUCCGCUCGUCGACCGCCGCCAGCGCGAGCUCGAACCGCUUGUUCUCCUCCCAGCUCCAGCUACUACUGCUGCUGCUGCUGCUUGCAGCACUGGCACUUGCACCAUCUUGAUCACUAUCUUCCAUUCUCAUAAUCUUUAUUCUUUGCACUACUGCAAGCAACAAAAAGUGUUACAACCACACACAAGAGGAGGAAUAUAAUUUGUUAUCACUCUUUGGCAAACAUAUAUGAAUGAAUGGUGUUUUGCUUUUGGCAAAAAAUUAUAGGGUUAAUUGCAUUCAGAUUCCUACAAAUAUAGUGAAUUGCAAAUAUAUCCUUAUAAAGUUUAACUUUCAUAUGUUGUCCCUGCAAAAGUCCUGACGUUUUCAAAUAUGUUCAUACCGUUAGAAUCUGUUAGAAUAGUUAGUUAAUGAGAUGAAUUGACCUUUUUACCCCUCUUUAAUUAAUAGUUGAAAUUUUUGAAGGGAUAUAUUUGUGAUGGUUAAAAAAUCAUUUCACUUAUAAAAUAGAUAGUGAUUUAACGGUAAUAAAUCAGAGGGACAUAUUUGAAUACAUUAGGACUUUUAUAGGGACAACAUACGAAAGUUGAACUUUGUAUGAAUAUAUUUAUAGUUCACUAUAUUUACAGAGAUCUAUAUGAAAUUAACCCAAAAUUAUAUGUAGGCACUGUCAAUGUGACGCCUCACUUUUCAAAGGGUCAUCCAUCCUACAACUAUUCUAGUCUUAGUACAUUUAACUAUCUUAACAUUUUUGGUUUAGUCACUGCCUAAAUACUAUAGUCGGAUUAAGAAUUUUUAGUUCUAUUAUAUAUUAGAUAGAAAAUUAUCUACGGUCUCACACUCAAACUCUAUAUAUCUUUCUUUUUCUUAUGUUGAGUUUUUUAUCUUAAUCUUUUUUCUUUUUUUUUUUGAGUGGUAGGGAAUUAUCCAGGUAUCACCUUUCAUUCAAAAGUCUAACCAUUUAUGGAUCAUUGGACAUGAAAAUUAAAAAUAAAAUCAUACUAAAUAUAGAAGAAUCAUACCACAAUCUGAUCAAAAGGAGUAGAAUAUUCAAAAGAGUGCUCUAUUUGUGUCUUUUUUUUAAUACUUUGAUUCCCUAAGAUACUACUCUACACCUCAUACCUAAUAUUAUUAUUAUUAUUAAUUAAUUAAUUAAACAUUAAUUAUGGCAAGUAGUAGACCUGGAUAAUAUAAAAAUUAGCUUAAGAAUAAUCUACACAAUAAUACCCAAACUUUAUAUCUUCUCAUUGAUGUAAUACCCAAAUUCUAUGGGUAAUGAUCCACACACAAAAAUCUCUUCUGCAUCUAACAUGUGACGAUUGGACGUUACAGACUCUUCCUAUUUAGAUUCUCAUGCGCUCAGCAGACUCAACUAUAUAAAUAAUUCAAUAUUACCAGGCGAUAUAAGAUACAUCUAUGCUUCCGGCAAAUAAUAUGACUUUGAUAUCAAAUGUAACGACUCAGCUCAUUAAUGUUAACAACUUCGACUUAAGUUCUUUAGGUUAGUA
rnacentral:lncRNA from 1 species